GAUGAAUGUACUCUUGGAAGUGAUAAUUGUAACAGACAAACUCAGAUUUGUUCAAAUACAAUUGGUUCAUAUACUUGUAUCCCACACACAUUUGAAAAUUGUCCAGUAGGAUUUCGUAAAGAUUUAAAUUCUGCAGGCUGCUUAGAUAUUGAUGAAUGUGCAGAAGGAUUAGAUGCUUGUAAUCGUAAUGAGGAAAUAUGUGUUAAUACAUAUGGAAAGUAUCAGUGUGAACCAAAGAAAACUCAGAAUUGUCCAGCUGGAUUUAAGUUCAAUGAUAAUAAAGAAUGUGAAGAUGUAGAUGAAUGCCUUGAAAACAUUCAUGGAUGUGAUGAUACAACAGAAAGUUGUCAAAACACAAUUGGUGGAUAUAAAUGUAAUAUAAAAUGCAAUGAAGGAUAUGUCUUCAAUCCUGCACUGGCCAGAUGUGAUGGUAAGUGUAUUAUAAUUAUUUUUUUAAUAAUAAGUUUAACAUAUUUAUUUAAUUUUGUUCAAUUUCUGUAUAUUGUUACUUUGUAUACAAAUGCUACAUAAAUUUUAAAAUGUAAAUAUUAUAAAAGAGUAUUAACAUUUGGCAUUUAACACAAUACACACCAUUGUAUCUAAACCAAAAAGAAUACAGGAUAUCCAAAAGCAGUGGAAAAGGUUUAAGUAAAGUUUUUUAGAUUAGGUUAGGUCUACAUAUGGCAUUGCAUUAUGAGACUUGGUC